rnacentral:snRNA from 1 species
GUGCUUGCUUCAGCAGCACAUGUACCAAAAUUGGAACAAUACAGAGCAGAUUAGCAUAUCCCCUGUGCAAGGAUGACAUGCAAAUUCAUGAAGCAUUCCAUAUUAUU